GACGAACGCUGGCGGCGUGCUCAACACAUGCAAGUCGAACGGAAAGGCCUCUUUCGGGGGGUACUCGAGUGGCGAACGGGUGAGUAACACGUGAGUAACCUGCCCUUGACUUUGGGAUAACUUCAGGAAACUGGGGCUAAUACCGGAUAGGAGCUCCUGCUGCAUGGUGGGGGUUGGAAAGUUUCGGCGGUUGGGGAUGGACUCGCGGCUUAUCAGCUUGUUGGUGGGGUAGUGGCUUACCAAGGCUUUGACGGGUAGCCGGCCUGAGAGGGUGACCGGCCACAUUGGGACUGAGAUACGGCCCAGACUCCUACGGGAGGCAGCAGUGGGGAAUAUUGCACAAUGGGUGGAAGCCUGAUGCAGCAACGCCGUGUGCGGGAUGACGGCCUUCGGGUUGGAAACCGCUUUCGCUCAUGACGAAGCUUUGUGUGACGGUAGUGGGUAAAGAAGCACCGGCUAACUACGUG
rnacentral:rRNA from 1 species